rnacentral:tRNA from 1 species
GCCCGGGUGGUGGAAUUGGUAGACACAAGGGAUUUAAAAUCCCUCGGGCUUAUCGCCUGUGCGGGUUCAAGUCCCGCCCCGGGCACCA